rnacentral:rRNA from 1 species
UACGGGGGGGGCAAGCGUUGUUCGGAAUUACUGGGCGUAAAGGGCUCGUAGGCGGCCAACUAAGUCAGACGUGAAAUCCCCAGGCUCAACCUGGGAACUGCGUCUGAUACUGGAUGGCUUGAAUCCGGGAGAGGGAUGCAGAAUUCCAGGUGUAGCGGUGAAAUGCGUAGAUAUCUGGAGGAAUACCGGUGGCGAAGGCGGCAUCCUGGACCGGAAUUGACGCUGAGGAGCGAAAGCCAGGGGAGCAAACGGG